UGGGGAAUAUUGCACAAUGGGCGCAAGCCUGAUGCAGCCAUGCCGCGUGUAUGAAGAAGGCCUUCGGGUUGUAAAGUACUUUCAGCGGGGAGGAAGGUGUUGUGGUUAAUAACCGCAGCAAUUGACGUUACCCGCAGAAGAAGCACCGGCUAACUCCGUGCCAGCAGCCGCGGUAAUACGGAGGGUGCAAGCGUUAAUCGGAAUUACUGGGCGUAAAGCGCACGCAGGCGGUCUGUCAAGUCGGAUGUGAAAUCCCCGGGCUCAACCUGGGAACUGCAUUCGAAACUGGCAUUCUAGAGUCUUGUAUAAGGGGGUAGAAUUCCAUAUAUAACGAUUAAAUUCGUAUAUAUCUUUAGGAAUACCGGUUGCUAAGGCGUCCCCCUGGACAAAAACUGACGCUCAGGUGCGAAAGCGUUUUCAACAAACA
rnacentral:rRNA from 1 species